UUGAACGCUGGCGGCAUGCCUUACACAUGCAAGUCGAACGGCAGCACGGGGGCAACCCUGGUGGCGAGUGGCGAACGGGUGAGUAAUACAUCGGAACGUGUCCUGGAGUGGGGGAUAGCCCGGCGAAAGCCGGAUUAAUCCCGCAUACGCUCUACGGAGGAAAGGGGGGGAUCGCAAGACCUCUCGCUCAAGGGGCGGCCGAUGGCAGAUUAGCUAGUUGGUGGGGUAAAGGCCUACCAAGGCGACGAUCUGUAGCUG
rnacentral:rRNA from 1 species